UACGUAGGGCGCAAGCGUUGUCCGGAAUUAUUGGGCGUAAAGAGCUCGUAGGCGGCUGUUCAAGUCGAACGUGAAAACUCGGAGCUCAACUCCGAGCCUGCGUUCGAUACUGGACGGCUAGAGUCUGGUAGGGGGAUCUGGAAUUCCUGGUGUAGCGGUGGAAUGCGCAGAUAUCAGGAGGAACACCGGUGGCGAAGGCGGGAUCCUGGGCCAGUACUGACGCUGAGGAGCGAAAGCGUGGGGAGCAAACAGG
rnacentral:rRNA from 1 species